GGACUGUUGGACCAGUACUGAAGCUCUCUCCAGGAGGACUGUUGGACCAGUACUGAAGCUCUCUCCAGGAGGACUGUUGGACCAGUACUAUAGCUCUCUCCAGGAGGACAGUUGGACCAGUACUGUAGCUCUCUCCAGGAGGACAGUUGGACCAGUACUGUAGCUCUCUCCAGGAGGACUGUUGGACCAGUACUGUAGCUCUCUCCAGGAGGACAGUUGGACCAGUACUGUAGCUCUCUCCAGGAGGACAGUUGGACCAGUACUGUAGCUCUCUCCAGGAGGACUGUUGGACCAGUACUGUAGCUCUCUACAGGAGGACUGUUGGACCAGUACUGUAGCUCUCUCCAGGAGGACAGUUGGACAAGUACUGUAUCUCUCUCCAGGACUGUUGGACCAGUACUGUAGCUCUCUCCAGGACUGUUGGACCAGUACUGUAGCUCUCUCCAGGACUGUUGGACCAGUAACUCUCUCCAGGAGGACUGUUGGACCCGUACUGUAGCUCUCUCCAGGAGGACUGUUGGACCCGUACUGUAGCUCUCUCCAGGAGGACUGUUGGACCAGUACUGUAGCUCUCUCCAGGAGGACUGUUGGACCAGUACUGUAGCUCUCUCCAGGAGGACUGUUGGACCAGUACUGUAGCUCUCUCCAGGAGGACUGUUGGACCAGUACUGAAGCUCUCUCCAGGAGGACUGUUGGACCAGUACUGAAGCUCUCUCCAGGAGGACUGUUGGACCAGUACUAUAGCUCUCUCCAGGAGGACAGUUGGACCAGUACUGUAGCUCUCUCCAGGAGGACAGUUGGACCAGUACUGUAGCUCUCUCCAGGAGGACUGUUGGACCAGUACUGUAGCUCUCUCCAGGAGGACAGUUGGACCAGUACUGUAGCUCUCUCCAGGAGGACAGUUGGAUCAGUACUGUAGCUCUCUCCAAGAGGACAGUUGGAUCAGUACUGUAGCUCUCUCCAGGAGGACAGUUGGACCAGUACUGUAGCUCUCUCCAGGACUGUUGGACCAGUAACUCUCUCCAGGAGGACAGUUGGACCAGUAGCUCUCUCCAGGAGGACUGUUGGACCCCUGUGAUGAUGAAUUGUGUGUUUUAUCAACCCUUAAAACAUGGAAUGGACAUUUUGAAAAACAGAUGCAAAC
rnacentral:lncRNA from 1 species